rnacentral:sRNA from 1 species
AUUGUCGUUAUAUGAGAUGUUGAUGACAUGAUUCAAAAUGGACUUUCCAGACAUUUUUCAGUCGCAAUAUCUGAAGCUGUAAGCAAAUAAUGUUUGUGUAAUCAAAUUGAUUCGUGUGGGCCCUUCACUGCGGAGGUCUGUACUGUGAGUGAUCUGAGUGUUGAUUUUCUUCAGCCUCCCCCACACUUCAAUGUCUUAUUCAUGGCUUUUACACCCCAACCCCCAUCUGUUGAUGUCUGCCUCAUCAUCCGACUGAAUCAUCCCGUCCCACAAUGGACCAACCUUACUACAGGCGGAUUAACAGUGAUAUUGCAGAUGACCUUGAGAGUAUUUGUUACAGGCUUGUUAUCAACAGUCUGCUUAAUGGAGAAUUUGGCAAUGGACAGGAUGUCCAUGGUAGUGGGAGAGCAGCUCCUCAGAUACCUGACCAGAUAGAAAAUUACCUACAGACAAGACAAGUGCUAAUACUGGAGGCAAAGUGGCAUUGCACCACCUCAAAAAACGGCAGGAUCAUGUUUUAAGGUGUACGCUGUAGAUUAACGGGCCACUUGGCUGAGAUUGAAGUCUCUGUAGCAGCUACAGUCAAAACCCACAAUCCCUCAGAGUGGUUGUCUUAUUGAUGGAGCCUAGGGGUAAAGCCUUGAUUGCUGACCGGGAUUCAUUGACCCAACUAGAGAACUACAAACAGAUCCAGUUUCCCCCUCCUCAUUCCAUUGUAGAGUUUUAAUGGUGUUUAGGACAAGAUUAGAUAAAAUAAAACAUCUUUGAAUGUUCAUUUGAAGACAGUACAUGUUUAACUUGAAAUGAUAGGAAUUUUUUUAGAUAUGUCAGGGUUGUUUUUGUUUUUUGUUGUUGAAUUUUUGGUUUAUUUAUAAGAGUUCAUCCCCUGAGAUAGAGUUUAUGUUAAAAUGAUAAAAAAUCAUGGUACAAGAAGCUAUGGAGGUCUUUGAUUUAUGAAAUAAACCCACUGGAUUG